rnacentral:rRNA from 1 species
CACGUAGGGUGCGAGCGUUGUCCGGAAUUAUUGGGCGUAAAGAGCUCGUAGGCGGUGUGUCGCGUCGGCCGUGAAAACCUGCAGCUUAACUGUGGGCUUGCGGUCGAUACGGGCAUCACUGGAGUUCGGCAGGGGAGACUGGAAUUCCUGGUGUAGCGGUGAAAUGCGCAGAUACCAAGAGGAACACCUGAGGUGAAGACGGGUUGCUGGGCCGACACUGACGCUGAAGCGCGAAAGCCAGGGGAGCAAACGGG